UUGCUUUGGCAGCACAUAUACUAAAAUUGGAAUGAUAUGGAGAAGAUUAGCAAGGCCUCUUCGCAAAUUCCAUAUUUUUGGAAAUAAGUGGUUUAUCUUUGU